ensembl:lncRNA
UCAGACUACCAUGCAUGUCUUUGUACUGGGGGAGGAAACCGGAGUACCCGGAGGAACCCCCCGCAGCACGGGGAGAACAUGCGAACUCCGCACACACAGGACCACGGUGGGAAUCGAACCCCCGAGUCUGGAGGUGUGAGGCGAACGUGCUAACCACUAACCCACCGUGCGGACAUUUUAAGAUCAGAAUACAAAAAGAACACAACAUGCACAUAAAUAGUGUGUCAGGGAACUCCACAUCAAGAACUACUAUUGCUAUUUCAUGAAGUUUUUUAAAUAAAGCGAAGCAUAUUGUAGCUCAUAUGAUCAAAUCUACCUUCUUUAUCUACAUAAACCUCUGCAUAGGCAUCGUACUGAAAUGGAGGCAGAGACUCGAACUCUCUCCAUCGUGACCUCUGUCCUUUUAGAGCUGCACUUUGGCAGUAAAACACUUAAAGUCGUCAUUAUGGUCUCCACUUUCUGCGUAUGAUUAUUUUCUGACAGUGUGACAGAAGGUCACUUCCUCCCUUAUUGCUAUAAUUUUGAUAUUAUUUGCAUCUCGGUCCUGUUUCUAGCUGCAGCACAUAAACUGGGUCUUUCUUCUCAUUCUGAAAGGGAAAUUGUAGUUUAGAUGCCGGCCUCGUAAUCAAUGCUGCCAUCAGUGGAGCUUCAUAAGUCACACCGCCUUUCUGAAUUUCUGUCACUGAAAAUGUCAUGCUAAUGUUAUUCAUGCAGGUGUGAUUAUAAUUAAUGUAUUCAUAAAUAUUGAUAUAGUUACAGAUUAUAAACUUAACAAAACUCUUAUUGCUAGUUGAUGAAAAAACAAACAAACAAACACACAUGAACACAACACACACCAUCUCAAAUCUGGACCUUUACAUAAUUUUAGGAGAAAAUGUUUUGGUCCUAAACGGAGGCUGAACUGCGUAAACAGGAGUGUAAUUAACCCGAGCUGCAGCCUGGAGGAGAAUCUCAGACUGUUACAGGCAGAGAACCAAGAGCUUUAUAUAGCACACAUCAUACUGUAAACAUCACCGAGUACCACUGUAUAUCAGGUACUGUAAUAUAAAUAAUAAUGAUGGGUUUCAUUUAUGCUACACUGUUACAGCGGGUCGGUGUGAGCAGAUCCAGGACAUGAACGACAGCAACGUUGCUUUUAUUUCUGGUUUUCUCCCUGUGCUUUUCAUCAUGGCAACCUCUUAACUGAGAUGUUUUAACUAAAACAAAAACUUCAAAAUGUGUACACACACACACACACACACACACACACACACACACACACACACACACACACAUGCACGCAGCUCAACAGGAUGCUGUCAGAGGAAGUCAAUUUGCUCUGUACCAUCAGCUCUCUGCUUGUCGUGUAGAGACACACCACGUGUAAAAGAUGCUCAUUAAUCACACACAGGUACAUGCUUAUUCACCCACUCCUUCUCCAAGAGUCCUCCCUCCUAUCACGAGCAGUGCUCGACCACGCCUUUGCUUCCACAAACCCCUUUCCACAGUACUAGGACACUUUAAAACACUCUUUACUGAGACGGACAGGUACACGCUCCCUUCUCUGAAACUGCUCCACGAUGUCAUAUCAUUAAAACUAAAUAAAUCCUCAACAUAUCACUUCUUUAUCUGAGCUUUAAGCAGUUAUUAACCUUGUGUGGGUCAGACAUGCUGCUUCAACAUACUGUAGUUCCACAUCGGUUCCACAUGGUUCAGCAUGGUUUAACAUUGUCCCUUUCCCUCAUGCUGGAUUCUGUUUAAACGGGGCUUAAUUAGGGGACUUGAGUUCCAGGACGAGUCUCUAAUGACUGGGUUAAGGCGUACAGUGUCUCUGCUCCUGCUGAUUUAGUGAUGUGUGUGACUUGUCUCACUCUACUGUUCUCCCUUAAAAACGGUAGAAACGCUGAUGUCAGGCAGGUUUGGAUUAUGAAAAUCAUAUGAAAACUGGCUGAAACGGUCAUUUUAAAGUGUCUUCAGAAUUGAUGAAGUUUAUAAAACUGUAGCAAGUGUUUCUGACUGCAGGUCUUCAGAGGGACGUCCUGCACAUCUGGAAAGAUCUAAAAAUAUUAAACAGAAAACAUCUUUUCUCACCUGUGUGUGUGUGUGUGUGUGUGUGUGUACCGAUCAGCAAUAAGAUUAAAACCACUGACAGGUGAUGUGAAUAACGUUGAUUAUCUCGUUACACCGGCACUUGUAAAUGUGUGUGUGUGUGUGUGUGUGUGGGGGGGGGGGGUGAUAUUUAUUAGGCAGUAAGUGAACAGUCAGUUCUGGAAGUUGACGUGUUGGACACAGGAAAAAUGAGCAAGUGUAAAUAUAUGAGUGACUCUGACGAGAGAAAUUGUGAUGUCUAGACGUCUGGGUCAGAGCGUCUCCAAAACAGCAGAUGUUGUGGGGUGUUCCCGGGGUGCAGGGGUUAGUACCUACCAAAAGUGCUCCAAGGAAGGAGAACCAGAGAACCGGUGACAGGGUCAUGGGCACCUAAAGGCUCACUGAUGUGCGUGAGGAGCGAAGACUAGUCCGUCUGGUCCGAUCCCACAGAAGAUCUACUGUAGCACAAACUGCCGAAGAAGUUCAUGCUGGAUCUGAUAGAAAGGAGUCUUGUUUUUUGCUUUAAUUAAUCAUGCAAUUCUUCCUUGUGAAGUCUUUUGAUUUAGGAACAGUGUUAUAUGAACUGGACUUAUUACUGCUAUUAUAAUUAGCAUCAUUUUUCUUCCCAGUUGCUCUACAGUGAUACUCGGUGAUGUUUACAGUAUGAUGUGUGCUAUAUAAAGCUGUUGGUUCUCUGCCAGUGAGUGUUGUGUAAUCAGUCCUGUAACAGUCUGAGAUUCUCCUCCAGGCUGCAGCUCGGGUUAAUAACUCUCAGUAAUUACACUCCUGUUUACGCAGUUCAGCCUCCGUUUAGGACCAAAACAUUUUCUCCACCGUUUCAUUAACAAAUAUAUGAUGUCGUGGGUUUUAUUUAAUUUUAUUGUAUGAUGGCUUGGUUUUGGUUGUACAUGAACACAGCGAUGUGACCGUGAUGUGUGUGAAGCUCGGUUGAGUUGUUUUUGUAAGAAUGCGAGACUCCGGAGCCACACAUCCAUCUUUUUGCGCUAACAGGACAUUAGUAGUGUUUCCAAAUUCUGCCUUAUUGCAGAGAAUGAGAGGAGCGAGGGAUUUACAGAGGGCAGUGAAAACAUGACAAAAGAACAAAACAGCAAAAGAUCUUGUGGAGCAGAGAGAGAAGGAAGGAAUUUUCAUGCCCUAAUGAGUCGCAUUCAGCUUUAUAGAGUGCUGAAGGUAAUUAAAUCCUUGUUCUUAACUCAGUUUAUCAUUUAGAAUAUACCAGAAAUAUGAAAUAUUUAUUGUUUGUUGUUUAUUUGUUUUUUGUGUUUAGGGCUGACAUGUCCCUGUGUGUAAACUGUCUUCCGUUGAUUGUGACUCUGGAGUGUGUGUGUUUGUGUGCGUGCAUGUGUGUCUGUGUGUGUAUGUGUGUGUAAACUGUCUUCCUUUCCUGUUGUGUCUUUGUGUGUGUGUGUGUGUGUGUGUGUGUGUGUGUGUGUGUGUGUGUGUGUGUGUGUGUGUGUGUGUGUGUGUGUGUGUUCUUUGGGGGAUUAAACACCACAAUUUAGUUAAUUAAAGCUGUAGGAAAUGGGACCAGGUGUGACAGAGGAGCUAAAGCGCUAAACUGUUCAUGGCAGUGGCUUUAGGUGUUUUAAAUACAGGAUAAAGUUCUCCUCUGACUGAUUUCACUCCUGAUCCAAACUAUUAAAGGACAAAUGUCCAAUCUGGUGUCCGAGCAGCAGCUCAGGCUCAAAGCCGAAUCCUACCUGGUGUGACGGCGGCGUUGGAAAACACAGGAGAUUAAUUAAGGACGCAUGGCCGGGUGGCACUUGUGUGUUGGUUUGUUUUUUCACUUAAUUUCUCAGGUGAUUAACUGGAGACUUUAUAGCUGCGCUUCCAGCCUCCGUCCUGCCUCGUAUGUUAAAGCAGUUUAUAAAACUCCUUCAUGACUCAUCACUCUCUCCCUCACACUUGACCUUGACGAUAAGAGCGUUUUGUAAUUAAAGUGAUUUGUUUAGAUUUAUACACACUCCUUUUUCUUUAUAUUGGCAUGCUAACUCUGUGGUGUGCUAAUGAAGCAUACCAUCCCUUCAGCCUACAAAACGUUUAUCAUCGCUUACAGUAUUUUAUAUUAGCAUUAUUUGCUCUUAGAUAAACUCUAUGCUAUAGGUCUUUCUGAAAAAGCUUUUAUGGUUUUAUGUUUCAGUUCAUCCUUUCAUAAUAGGAAACGAUGUGGUGUAGUAAAAGGGGUUAAGUCUGAUUUUGUUGAUUCAACCAAAAGGUGUACCAGAAAGUUCACUAUUGGGUCCACUUCUUCUCUCUCUCUAUGUAAAUCAUUUACCGGACCCAGACCGGCCAUCGGGAGCAGCGGGAGAAUUCCCGGUGUCCUGACGACUGAUUUGGCCCGCUGCCCUGCUGUUUAAUAAAAAAAUCUUGAUUUGCAGCGCUGCCAUUCUCCUCAGCACCAGCAAACAGAGUCCUUAAUGAGAGGCAGGUGGAGCAGAGAGGGAACUAGACUACGCACAAGGAAAACCCUCUAAAAAGAAGCAGCAAAAUGUAGUAAAAUUACUGAGCAGUUCAGGGCUUCAGUGCAGGUGAGUCUCACCUGUAAAUCCUGCAGCAUUGUGUUCGUUAAUCAAGUAUUAACCAAAGCUUCACUACUAGCAAACGUUAGCACUAUUACUAUCAUCACUCAAAAUAUGCUAAAGGACAGCGUUCUCUACUGUAUAUUUAUAAUACAGUAAGUAAUUUAGCAGACAAAUAUCCUAACUUAUUAUUUUAAAUGUGGAAAUUACAUACAGCUAGGGCAAACAACAACAACAACAACAAACACUUUUCCAGGCCAUGAGUCAUAAAAGGUAAUAUCAUGUUCAGUAUUAGGAUUUUUCUAAAGAGAUAUUGUGCUGAUGUAGUUAUUAUUGUAAUAUGUAGUUAUGUAGGUGCUUUAAUAUAUUGGUGUAAAAUAUAGCAUGGAUAAAUCUCAGGAAUUUUCAGUAUUUUUAAGUCUAAAAAACCCCAUUGCCCUAAUGUGAUACAUUAAUUUGAAGUAAAAGAAAUGUAGAUUCUGUGCUCACACUUUACAGUGCAGUUAAACAGUUUCCAUUUUCCAACAAUGUGGAGACGGUUCUGUUCACAGCAGUAGACCCAGUAAAGAAGUCACGUGUACAUGGGCGGCUGUAGCUCAGUUGGUAGAGCGGGUUGUCCGCUAAUCAUAGGGUUGGCGGUUUGAUUCCCGGCCCGCGUGACUCCACAUGCCGAAGUGUCCUUGGGCAAGACACUGAACCCCAAGUUGUUCCCGAUGGCAAGUUAACGCCUUGAAUGGAAGCUCUGCUACCACUGGUGUGUGAGUGUGUGAGUGGGUGAAUGAGACACAGUGUAAAGCGCUUUGGAUAAAAGCGCUAUAUAAGUGUGCCAUUUACAUGAACAGUGGCAAAAAAGUGUCUUUUGUUUACCUCUCUUCUGUAUUAAUGUACUUUUAUGAGUGAAAAGUAGAGAGUUACUGGCAGCUUUGCAUUUCUGGUUGCUGUAGACUUCACUAUUCGAGGUACCAACAAAUAGCCUGCACCGUUUGAUUGAAGUAGGCGUGGUGGUUCAUAAAAGACCAAAAGUUCACUCGGGUAUUCAGUGCUUUAGCAUUAGCUUUGGUCGUCAUCCAUUCACCCGGCUGUGAGGGCUCUAAUGCCGGAGUUGGGGGAUUGCUAGCUCCGUCUGAGACAUCCAGACUUUCCCACUACAGAAACUACCCUACUCUCUCUCACUAACCCUCUCUAGAGUCUGGAUUUGCACCUCUAAUACUGCAACCUUCUCCGUCAGAGAGAUAACUACUAUACACGUAGCACAAAUAAAGCUAUUACUAACGACGGAGGAAGAGCGACUAAACAUCCUGCACUCAACACGCUGAACAAGCUGAACGUCUGCCAUGUUGAGUGUUAAACGUUCCUUAGUUGUAACUGUCUGGUGAUGAUUUUAGGCAAAACUGAUGUAGAUGGCCUUUGUUUGCUGUUACUAGAUUUAAAAAUAAAUAAAUAAAUAAAAAGCGUUCUUUGAAAACAUUAAGAGGCAGCAAAAAGUGAAAGUGAAAAAUACAAUGGAUGAAAACGAAAGCAGUAAAAUGAAUGAUGAUUAAAAAACAGUUUAAAUGCAGACAAGAAUCUCCUUUCACAGGAACUAGGAAAAGCCAGGAGUCUUCAUGGUGCUCGCUUUGUGUGUCGUGCUGGAACAGAUUCGGGUCUGUAAAGGGAAACUGGAAAGCUACAGCGUACAGAGACGCUCUAUACAACUGUGUGCUUUAGACUUUGUGGUAACAGUUUGGGGAAGAAACACGUAUGCAUAUGGUGGUCAGGGGUGCACAUACUUUUGGCCAUAUAGUGUAUCUUUGGGGCCUCAGAAAUAACAAAGACAUCCCUGGUUCUGAUCAUCUAUUAUUUCUCCACUUUCAG